CGUAACAAGGUCUCCGUAGGUGAAUCUGCGGAGGGAUCAUUACACAAAUAUGAAGGCGGGCUGGAACCUCUCGGGGUUACAGCCUUGCUGAAUUAUUCACCCUUGUCUUUUGCGUACUUCUUGUUUCCUUGGUGGGUUCGCCCACCACUAGGACAAACAUAAACCUUUUGUAAUUGCAAUCAGCGUCAGUAACAAAUUAAUAAUUACAACUUUCAACAACGGAUCUCUUGGUUCUGGCAUCGAUGAAGAACGCAGCGAAAUGCGAUAAGUAGUGUGAAUUGCAGAAUUCAGUGAAUCAUCGAAUCUUUGAACGCACAUUGCGCCCUUUGGUAUUCCAAAGGGCAUGCCUGUUCGAGCGUCAUUUGUACCCUCAAGCUUUGCUUGGUGUUGGGCGUCUUGUCUCUAGCUUUGCUGGAGACUCGCCUUAAAGUAAUUGGCAGCCGGCCUACUGGUUUCGGAGCGCAGCACAAGUCGCACUCUCUAUCAGCAAAGGUCUAGCAUCCAUUAAGCCUUUUUUUCAACUUUUGACCUCGGAUCAGGUAGGGAUACCCGCUGAACUUAAGCAUAUCA
rnacentral:rRNA from 1 species